AAGCCCAUUUUCUUAAUAAUGGGCUUUAAAAUUUCUAUUCCUUCACUUCAUAUUGUCAGACUUCAAGAAUUUUAGCUAAUCUGAUGGAUGUGAGAUGGCAUCUCUUAAUUUUUAAAUCUGCAUUUCUUUAUUAGUGAAGUUAAGCAUUUUACCAUAUGCCGAGAAUCAUUUCUCCUUCCACACUUUGCAUGUUCAUACAGUCUGCCAAUGUAUCUCGAUUGCUUUUAAUUCUUCUUAUGGAUGUAUAGGAUUUCUCUGCUAUAUUCAGGGUAUUAAUUCUUUGUCAGUUAUAUAUGUUGAAUGUGCAUCUGUGACUUGCUUUUAUUUUUUAUUUAUUUAUUUUUUUUGCUGCCCGGUUCUCAGUUGUUGCAAGCCACUGGCUGCCUGCUUCUGGACACACUUAAUUUUUCAGAUCAUGGCAACGACAUGGUGAAAACAGCUUGGAGGUGAAUUUUGAAAAGCCUGUGUGAAUAAAUGUUCCUUGACUCUAAAUAUCUGUCGUAGGCUCAGGAAUGUGUUCUUACAAAAGAAUCUGUGAAGGACCUGUUUUGCUUACUCAAGGAUCUCAUUUGCUAAUAUAAUUCUGUGGUGAAAGCAAAAGAACCAGGUGUAAGUGGAAAAAAAACCUUAGUCACUAAGGCUUGUUUGGGCUGCUCAGUGAUGAACACCGGGGUGACAGGUUCUCCUGCCAUGGUGAAUCCUGGCAAGAUUCGCCUGGCUGUCCGGACAUUGUGCAGCCCCAGCAUAUGUGAGAGGACACCUGAAAGAAGUUUCGUCCUCAGGGGUCUCUCCUCUCCAUCUACACACCUUGGAGAGCCUUCACCAGGGUGUGAUGGUGGCAAGUCUGGGACGCAUUCAUCAGAAGGUCCUGCUCUCAGCAGAAAUUUGGAGCCUCCUGAGUGACCAGCAUUAAUGCCCCACUUCCCCUCUUGCACAACUCCCAGCUUCUCGACUGCCCAGUGAUGGAAUUAUUGAUUGAUGCCAGGAGCAGUGGAGCACCACUGGCAGAAGAACCUGCCUCCCUGCUCCUUCAAAGGCCACAGACCCAUGAGAACCAUUCACUGUAGCCUGAGCCACAUGCCUAGAGGCCACAGCAGUGCACAGGAAAGCGAGGGGAAGUGGAAACGUGCGAGCAGACGGCUCAAAGCAACGGGCUCACCACCGGAAAAAAAAAAUAAAAAUAAACACGCUCAGAAAUAGUGUAAC